GAAGGAGCCACUACUCCUAUCAGAUAUUUGCACUUCCCUUGAUUAACUGAGAGCUUCCAGCACAGACAGACAUGGGCUUCUCCACUGUUGGGUGCCUGGGAUCUGAGGCCUGUGAGGAGGGCAGGGCUGUCUGGGUGUAAGGGCA